rnacentral:rRNA from 1 species
UACGGAAGGCAGCGGUGGGGAAUAUUGCACAAUGGGCGAAAGCCUGAUGCAGCUAUGCCGCGUGUAUGAAGAAGGCCUUAGGGUUGUAAAGUACUUUCAUCGGGGAGGAAAAAACAAAACUAAUAAUUUUAUUUCUUGACGUUACCCGAAAAAGAAGCACCGGCUAACUCCGUGCCAGCAGCCGCGGUAAUACGGAGGGUGCUAGCGUUAAUCAGAAUUACUGGGCGUAAAGAGCACGUAGGUGGUUUUUUUAAAGUCAGAUGUGAAAUCCCUGGGCUUAACCUGGAACUGCAUUUUGAAACUGAAAUACUAGAGUAUCGUAGAGGGAGGUAGAAUUCUAGGUGUAGCGGUGAAAUGCGUAGAUAUCUGGAGGAAUACCUGUGGCGAAAGCGGCCUCCUAAACGAAUACUGACACUGAGGGUGCGAAAGCGUGGGGAGCAAACAGGGAUUAGAUACCCGU